GCACUGGCAAAGAGGUGAAAAGUCCACUGCAGCUGUCCUCGUGCGCGCACGCAAAGGCACACUCCGAGACUGUUCUCAUUCAGACACUCAUCAGUUUGCACCCGAUGUGGCCAAUGUCCCAUAACGCGCAUUAGUGAUGUCUGCAUUAAGUCACGGUCACGGAGCCGUGGCUCUUUGAAAUGUGGGUGUGAUGAGACGCCGGUCAUUAUUCAGAUCUGGCAACCCCGCUAGUGGAGCAGAAAUUUCACUUCAGCUUAAAAAACAACCACCACCCGAGAAACCUGAGAAGUGUCAGUUUUACAAAACAAGCACAUCAGUGUUGCCAAGUCUACUUAUUAUUAUUAUUAUUAUUAUAAGCAACUUUGGGCUAGGUUUCCCACCCACUUUUAACCAUUUACACAUUUCAUUUCUGUAUUAGAUAUUUUAUGUCAUUUCAGCUGCUUGACUGUUUCCUUUUUUUUUUUUUUAUGACGUCAUUACAUUGCUGACACCAGACAAUCGCUGCAUUGCUCAUCAUGAUUGCGAGUAUCGAUAUACUGUAUAUCUGCCCAUUCCAAUGAACACAAGAACAUGCAGUAAUAUUAGACAACUUAAUCCAGAUAUUGGUAAUACUUUACAACAAAGUCUCCUUUGUUGACAUUCGUCAACUACAGUAGUUAACACGAACUGACGAUGAACAAUACUUCAGUAUUUAUUCAUCUUAGCUAUGUUAAUCUCAACAUUUAGUAAUCAAAAGUUCUAUCUGUCAACAUUAGUUAGAACUAACUUGGAUUUCUUUUUAUUAACAAAGGUUAAAUAAUGCUGUAAAAAAAGAUUGCUCACUGUUAGUUUUUUUUAAAUCAAAUCCGCAAAUUAAAAAACUCAUUUAAAGAAAUUAGCCAGAGCUCGAUCAUCACAACUGAAGAUCUGGCAAGCAGUGUUGUCUUGUGUUGUUCCUGCCAGGAAUAAUCAACUUUCAAAAAUUAGCAGAAAAUUCACCAAUACAUUGAUCUUUAAGUGUUAGCCAUGAGCCAUGACUGAUUAAAUGAUUAAAAUGUGAUUUGUACAAUCUCAAUGAGGCCCAAAACCGACUUUUCCUACAAAUCUUCAACACUUUGUGAGUUUUACACAGUAAUUCUAAUAAUAAAGUCUGAACGAACUCUGAUCAGGAUGAGACGGCACAAGUUUGCCUCUGA